rnacentral:rRNA from 1 species
GGUAAUUCCAGCUCCAAUAGCGUAUAUUAAAGUUGUUGCGGUAAAAAAGCUCGUAGUUGGAUUUCUGUUGAAGACGUCCGGUCCAUACCACGUAUGCGCAUCUGGCUCGGCUUCGGCAUCCUCUCGAAAGGCGUUUCUGCGCUUGAUUGCGUGGAGCGGAUCUCGGGACUUUUACUUUGAGGAAAUUAGAGUGUUCACGGCAGGCUAUCGCCAGAAUACAUUAGCAUGGAAUAAUACUAUAGGAUCUCGGUUCUAUUUUGUUGGUUUCUAGAAUUGAGAUAAUGAUUAAUAGGGACAAUUGGGGGCAUUCGUAUCAACACGUUAGAGGUGAAAUUCUUGGAUCGUGUUGCGACGAACUACUGCGAAAGCAUUUGCCAAGGAUGUUUUCAUUGAUCAAGAACGAAAGUAAGGGGAUCGCAGACGAUUAGAUACCGUCGUAGUCUUUACCAUAAACUAUGCCAACUAGAGAUGGGACAUCGCUCACUUAAGACUUGUUCCGCACCUUAUGGGAUAUCAAAGUCUUUGGGUUCCGGGGGGAGUAUGGUCGCAAGUCUGAAACUUAAAGGAAUUGACGGAAGGGCACCACCAGGAGUGGAGCCUGCGGCUUGAUUUGACUCAACACGGGGAAACUCACCAGGUCCAGACAUAAUAAGGAUUGACAGAUUGAUAGCUCUUUCUUGAUUUUAUGGGUGGUGGUGCAUGGCCGUUCUUAGUUCGUGGAGUGAUUUGUCUGCUUAAUUGCGUUAACGAACGAGACCUUAACCUGCUAAAUAGGAGCGCCUAUCUCCGGAUAAGCGCCUUUCUUCUUAGAGGGACUUUAUGCGUUUCAGCAUGAGGAAGUUUGAGGCUAAAACA